rnacentral:rRNA from 1 species
GGAGCUUACCAUGCAGUCGACGCUGAGCUUGGUGCUUGCACUGGGUGGAUGAGUGGCGAACGGGUGAGUAAUACGUGAGUAACCUGCCCUUGACUCUGGGAUGAGCCUGGGAAACUGGGUCUAAUACUGGAUAUGACAUGUCACCGCAUGGUGGUGUGUGGAAAGGGUUUUACUGGUUUUGGAUGGGCUCACGGCCUAUCAGCUUGUUGGUGGGGUAAUGGCUCACCAAGGCGACGACGGGUAGCCGGCUUGAGAGGGUGACCGGCCACACUGGGACUGAGACACGGCCCAGACUCCUACGGGAGGCAGCAGUGGGGAAUAUUGCACAAUGGGCGGAAGCCUGAUGCAGCGACGCCGCGUGAGGGAUGACGGCCUUCGGGUUGUAAACCUCUUUCAGCACGGAAGAAGCGAAAGUGACGGUACGUGCAGAAGAAGCGCCGGCUAACUACGUGCCAGCAGCCGCGGG